rnacentral:pre_miRNA from 1 species
AUAUGAGAGCAUGGGUGAGAGGUGCUUAGUUACUACUCCCUCCGUCCGAAAAUACUUGUCAUCAAAAUGAAUAAAAAAGGGGAUGUAUCUAGAACUAAAAUACAUCUAGAUACAUCCCCUUCUAUCCAUUUUGAUGACAACUAUUUCCGGACGGAGGGAGUAAUUGCUUCUUCUGGCUUGGCGUUUAUGU